rnacentral:rRNA from 1 species
AUUGAACGCUGGCGGCAGGCCUAACACAUGCAAGUCGAACGGUAACAAGAAGCAGCUUGCUGCUUCGCUGACGAGUGGCGGACGGGUGAGUAAUGUCUGGGAAACUGCCUGGUGGAGGGGGAUAACUACUGGAAACGGUAGCUAAUGCCGCAUAACGUCGCAAGACCAAAGAGGGGGACCUUAGGGCCUCUUGCCAUCGGAUGUGCCCAGAUGGGAUUAGCUAGUAGGUGGGGUAACGGCUCACCUAGGCGACGAUCCCUAGCUGGUCUGAGAGGAUGACCAGCCACACUGGAACUGAGACACGGUCCAGACUCCUACGGGAGGCAGCAGUGGGGAAUAUUGCACAAUGGGCGCAAGCCUGAUGCAGCCAUGCCGCGUGUAUGAAGAAGGCCUUCGGGUUGUAAAGUACUUUCAGCGGGGAGGAAGGGAGUAAAGUUAAUACCUCUGCUCAUUGACGUUACCCGCAGAAGAAGCGCCGGCUAACUCCGUG